ACGCACGCUGGCGGCGUGCUUCACACAUGCCAGUCGAACGGAAAGGCCCUGCUUUUGUGGGGUGCUCGAGUGGCGAACGGGUGAGUAACACGUGAGUAACCUGCCCUUGACUUUGGGAUAACUUCAGGAAACUGGGGCUAAUACCGGAUAGGAGCUCCUGCUGCAUGGUGGGGGUUGGAAAGUUUCGGCGGUUGGGGAUGGACUCGCGGCUUAUCAGCUUGUUGGUGGGGUAGUGGCUUACCAAGGCUUUGACGGGUAGCCGGCCUGAGAGGGUGACCGGCCACAUUGGGACUGAGAUACGGCCCAGACUCCUACGGGAGGCAGCAGUGGGGAAUAUUGCACAAUGGGCGGAAGCCUGAUGCAGCAACGCCGCGUGCGGGAUGACGGCCUUCGGGUUGUAAACCGCUUUCGCCUGUGACGAAGCGUGAGUGACGGUAAUGGGUAAAGAAGCACCGGCUAACUACGUG
rnacentral:rRNA from 1 species